UACAGAGGUGGCAAGCGUUGUUCGGAAUUACUGGGCGUAAAGGGCGCGUAGGCGGCCAUCUAAGUCAGACGUGGAAUCCCCCGGCUUAACCUGGGAACUGCGUCUGAUACUGGAAGGCUUGAGUAUGGGAGAGGGAUGUAGAAUUCCAGGUGUAGCGGUGAAAUGCGUAGAUAUCUGGAGGAAUACCGGUGGCGAAGGCGGCAUCCUGGACCAUUACUGACGCUGAGGCGCGAAAGCUAGGGGAGCAAACGGG
rnacentral:rRNA from 1 species